AAGUCGUAACAAGGUUUCCGUAGGUGAACCUGCGGAAGGAUCAUUACCGAGAGACGGGGUCUAACCGGCCCCAACUCUUCACCCGUGUCUACCCAACCAUAGUUGCUUUGGCGGCCGUGAGUCUCCGUGGAGGCCCAUAGCGAAGCCGCCGAAGGCCCACUAAAUUCUUGUACCGGUGCCGUCUGAGUAAAAAUUCAAUAACUAAAAAAUUCAACAACGGAUCUCUUGGUUCUGGCAUCGAUGAAGAACGCAGCGAAAUGCGAUAAGUAAUGUGAAUUGCAGAAUUCCGUGAAUCAUCGAAUCUUUGAACGCACAUUGCGCCCUUUGGUAUUCCGAAGGGCAUGCCUGUUCGAGCGUCAUUACAACCCUCAAGCACUGCUUGGUAUUGGGUCUCGUCCCCCCGGGAUGUGCCUAAAACACAGUGGCGGUCCAGCGAGACUUCAAGCGCAGCAAGAUUUUACAUCCCGCUUUGGAAGCACCUCGUCGGGUUGGCCAAAUCCACACAUCUUCAAUGGUUGACCUCGGAUCAGGUAGGGAUACCCGCUGAACUUAAGCAUAUCAAUAAGCGGAGGAAAAGAAACCAACAGGGAUUGCCUCAGUAACGGCGAGUGAAGCGGCAACAGCUCAAAUUUGAAAUCUGGCUCCUUCGGGGUCCGAGUUGUAAUUUGUAGAGGGUGUUUCGGGUGAGGCGCUGGCCUAAGUUCCUUGGAACAGGACGUCAUAGAGGGUGAGAAUCCCGUAUGCGGCCGGUGACCGACCCCAUGUGAAACCCCUUCGACGAGUCGAGUUGUUUGGGAAUGCAGCUCAAAAUGGGUGGUAUAUUUCAUCUAAAGCUAAAUACCGGCCAGAGACCGAUAGCGCACAAGUAGAGUGAUCGAAAGAUGAAAAGCACUUUGGAAAGAGAGUUAAAAAGUACGUGAAAUUGUUGAAUUGGAAGCGCUUGCCUCCAGAACUUCCGCUGGAUAUUCAGCCUCCGUUUUCGGGGUGCACUUGUUCAGCGGUAGGCCAGCAUCGGUUUGGGCGGUCGGAUAAAGGCCAGAGGAACGUAGCUCCCUCCGGGGAGUGUUAUAGCCUCGGCGCCAUGCGGCCAGCCCAGACCGAGGACCGCGCUUCGGCUAGGAUGCUGGCAUAAUGGAUGUAAGCGGCC
rnacentral:rRNA from 1 species